GUUUGAAAAGCUUGGAUUAUCAAAACACACAACAAAUGAUAGAACCAAAUAUAUAGAUGAUACAGUGAAGCACAAGGUCAAAAUUUUAAAACGGGAGUCUGGUGAAGGCAGAAAUUCAUCAGACUAUAGAGAUAACGAAAUUAAAAAAUGGCAGCUAGCUCCUCUUCGUAAGAUGGGACAACCAGUUUNAACCAGUUUUACCUCGGAGAUCCUCAGAAGAGAAAAGUGAAAAAAUACCAAAAGAGCCUACAACUGUUAUUUGCACAGGAGAAAAAGCUUCAAAACCAGGUACUCAUGAGAAGCAAGACACGAAAAAGAAGAAAGUUGAAAAAGGAGUUAAUGUACAUCCUCCUGCUUCUGCUUCCAAGCCUUCUGCAGAUC